CAUAAACGUGCUGCAACCAUACUGUAUGACUUCAGAAACUCGUCUUACUGUCCUUCCGACAACGAUACAAGUAGACACGAUUUGUUGCUGGCCAUUAAUGAACAGACCAACGUGUAGUGACAAUGAAACGUCAACAGAAUUUGAUUACGCAACGUCAUUUGCCAGACAUGUUUACGGCCGCAACGUCAACUGCUAAUCGAAUUGCCGAGUACCAGUGCGUACAGAUUCUUGCCAUAAAUGUUUCCUAUCAACUGAAUUGCCAAAGAAUCGACUAAAGGAAAACCUUUAAAGCCCUCAUGUUCCAACCGUAUAAUUGCCAAAAACAAUUAAUUGGUUGAA
rnacentral:lncRNA from 1 species